GAAGUAGUAUUAGGGGUUGGUAAUUAAGGGUCACGGUAGGAUUAGUUUUAGGGGUAGGUAUAUUAGGGGUUGGAGUAGUAUUAGGGGUUGGUAAUUAAGGGUCACGGUAGGAUUAGUUUUAGGGGUAGGUAAUUAGGGGUUGGAGUAGUAUUAGGGGUUGGUAAUUAAGGGUCACGGUAGGAUUAGUUUUAGGGGUAGGUAAUUAGGGGUUGGAGUAGUAUUAGGGGUUGGUAAUUAAGGGUCACGGUAGGAUUAGUUUUAGGGGUAGGUAAUUAGGGGUUGGAGUAGUAUUAGGGGUUGGUAAUUAAGGGUCACGGUAGGAUUAGUUUUAGGGGUAGGUAAUUAGGGGUUGGAGUAGUAUUAGGGGUUGGUAAUUAAGGGUCACGGUAGGAUUAGUUUUAGGGGUAGGUAAUUAGGGGUUGGAGUAGUAUUAGGGGUUGGUAAUUAAGGGUCACGGUAGGAUUAGUUUUAGGGGUAGGUAAUUAGGGGUUGGAGUAGUAUUAGGGGUUGGUAAUUAAGGGUCACGGUAGGAUUAGUUUUAGGGGUAGGUAAUUAGGGGUUGGAGUAGUAUUAGGGGUUGGUAAUUAAGGGUCACGGUAGGAUUAGUUUUAGGGGUAGGUAAUUAGGGGUUGGAGUAGUAUUAGGGGUUGGUAAUUAAGGGUCACGGUAGGAUUAGUUUUAGGGGUAGGUAAUUAGGGGUUGGAGUAGUAUUAGGGGUUGGUAAUUAAGGGUCACGGUAGGAUUAGUUUUAGGGGUAGGUAAUUAGGGGUUGGAGUAGUAUUAGGGGUUGGUAAUUAAGGGUCACGGUAGGAUUAGUUUUAGGGGUAGGUAAUUAGGGGUUGGAGUAGUAUUAGGGGUUGGUAAUUAAGGGUCACGGUAGGAUUAGUUUUAGGGGUAGGUAAUUAGGGGUUGGAGUAGUAUUAGGGGUUGGUAAUUAAGGGUCACGGUAGGAUUAGUUUUAGGGGUAGGUAAUUAGGGGUUGGAGUAGUAUUAGGGGUUGGUAAUUAAGGGUCACGGUAGGAUUAGUUUUAGGGGUAGGUAAUUAGGGGUUGGAGUAGUAUUAGGGGUUGGUAAUUAAGGGUCACGGUAGGAUUAGUUUUAGGGGUAGGUAAUUAGGGGUUGGAGUAGUAUUAGGGGUUGGUAAUUAAGGGUCACGGUAGGAUUAGUUUUAGGGGUAGGUAAUUAGGGGUUGGAGUAGUAUUAGGGGUUGGUAAUUAAGGGUCACGGUAGGAUUAGUUUUAGGGGUAGGUAAUUAGGGGUUGGAGUAGUAUUAGGGGUUGGUAAUUAAGGGUCACGGUAGGAUUAGUUUUAGGGGUAGGUAAUUAGGGGUUGGAGUAGUAUUAGGGGUUGGUAAUUAAGGGUCACGGUAGGAUUAGUUUUAGGGGUAGGUAAUUAGGGGUUGGAGUAGUAUUAGGGGUUGGUAAUUAAGGGUCACGGUAGGAUUAGUUUUAGGGGUAGGUAAUUAGGGGUUGAAGUAGUAUUAGGGGUUGGUAAUUAAGGGUCACGGUAGGAUUAGUUUUAGGGGUAGGUAUA